GCCACAGCUUCAGAAGCUUU
rnacentral:snRNA from 1 species